GUGGACCUAUCAGUGACUAUGUGCUUGUUUAUUUGGGAUGCGGGUGGCGCUGUGGUCUAAAUUCCUCUUGGGCUUGCCGAUCAGAAGGUUGGUGGUUCGAAUCCCCGCAAAUGGUGAGCUCCUGUUGCUCUGUCCCAGCUCCUGCCAACCUAGCAGUUCAAAAGCACACCAGGGCAACUAGAUAAAUAGGUACUGCUGUGGUGGGAAGGUAAAUGGUGUUUCUGUGUGCUCUGGUUUCCAUCACGGUGUCCCAUUGUGCCAGAAAUGGCCACAUGACCUAAAAAGCUGCCUGCAGUUAAACGCUGGCUCCCUCGGCCUGAAGUGAAAGGAGCACCACAACUCCAUAGUCGUCUUUGAGUGGACUUAACCAUCCAGGGGUCCUUUACCUUUUUAAUAUAUACCACAGCUCUGUUUACUCCUGCUGCAAAUCGCAAUCCACACAUGUUCAGUCAGUGCUUGAAUUACAGGUGGGUAGCAUAGGGGAUCUGUUCCCAUUUCCUUUGGUGAUGGUCAUCCAUAGCUACAAUUUUUAGAAGACUGGGGAACAACAUGUUUCUGUUAUACCUGUGGAGGAGUCAGAGAUGAGACUUGUGGGUUUCAUUAAGAGUUCAGCUAUCUCCUGCCUCCUGGAUUUUGGGAGCUACUAUGUGAAAGACAUCCAGGAAGAGAGAGCCUCCUACCCUCUGGAUGUAACCAAAUGAGAAAGUUGUGAUGAGCUGAUUCAUAGUAGACCAGUAAUGGAUGAACUGAGAAUUUCCAGAACUGCUUAGCUAGCACAUCAUGAACCACAACUCCUGGCACCAGGUCAGUUCAGAGCUGUAACAUUUUCUGUCAGGGUAUCAACGCAAGUCCCAGCAUGAUUCUAGAUUUUUCUCAGGCACAUCAAAAUAGGCCUAAGGUUUUUUUUCUGUUUGCCUCUCUCUCUAUGUCUAUAGCCUUGCUAAGUAGCUUGUCUGAACAUACAAAUGGGUUCCCUGUUCCUAAAAAAUUAUUUUGUUUAAAGGCAAUUUCUUUCUGUGGUUAAAUUUCCGUCCACCCCAUCUGCUUUUCAUUAACAAGCUUGUAGCCUAAAGGCAAGAUUACCUCAUUCCAACUGGGAUAAAGUAAGUCAGGAUCUUUCCUGGGAUAAAAGCACAGGCUUAUUAAAUAUAGUAACCCCCCUCCCCUCCCAAUACUUAGGUUAUAAAAAUGUGUUUGGAUAUUUAGCUGAAGGGUGCAAUCUACCGAUAAUUCUCAACAGUGCUGGAAUGAGAGGCAGUGUUGAACUAUUGAAUUCAUUGUCAUAGGAUGUAGGAAUGGCCGUCCACUUGAAUGUGCUGAAAUUUUUCUCCAUCUCUGAUAAAACUGGAAUGGGUGAACUCAUGAAGCUGAAGUGUGGGAGAUUCGAGACAGAGAAGAGGAAACCUUCCUUUGCACAGGUGCAGCACAUAUUAAAACUUUGAAAUUCACUUCCACGAGAUGUGGUGAUGCCCAUUAAUGUAGGCGAGAUUCACAUGGCAAUUUAUUCCAUUUCCCUAACUGUUAAUUUGAGCUUUCACUGUUAAUAGUUGAGCUUUCACACAACAUAGAAGCCUCUUCCAGAGGGCAAUCUCAGCAUUCAUUUCUGUGUUGUUUGCAAGUAGGUUUUUUCUUCCUGGAAGCAAAUAACACAGAAAUGAGUGUCAUAUAUCCCACCAUAUUUCUGAAAAGGACUUUAAUGUUGUGGGAAAGUUCAAGUACAGUGGUACGUCUACUUACGGACAUGAUCCAUUCCAGGGUGCCGUUCGCACCCCGAAAAGUCCGUAAGUAGAGUACCACUUCUGUGUGUGCACGUGACGCAAUAGAGCAUUCCUGCACAUGCGCAAAACGCGCAGAUCGCUCCUGCGCAUGCGCGAAGUGGCGAACCUGGAAGUAAACACUUCCAGGUUUGCCGUGUUCGUAACAUGAAAAAACACAACGUGAAGCAAACACAACUCAAGGUAUGACUGUACAAUGCAGACAUUAAUAUAUGGUAACCACAUGUCCCCGUUUCCUGGGGACAGUCCCCAGAUUUACAAAUCUGUCCCCGGACAAAAUCCAUCCCCGGAAUGUCCCCGGAUUUCAUUUAAAGUCCCCGGAUUUAUAUUUUAAGUGUUGUAGAUUUAUUAGUAGGGAAUGAAUGUUGUGUGGUUGGUUCAACGGCUCAAGAAACAUCAUAUGGGGACUUCCGGUGAGGCAAAAUGGCAGGCGCCACGGCAGUGAGCAGCUCCUGAAGCUACUAGGCUGAGGCUGCUGCUGCCACUACUGAAGGGGAACCGUGGACACCCGGCACGUCAACCGGGGGAGCCAGUGCCCCCCCCGCGACCCAAAUCGAGCAGGGAGCGAGAGCGCCCGGCCAACUGCCCAGCGGCACUCCGGGGCCAGGAAAACCCUGGAGCCAACACAAAAGGAAAGGGGAAAAGGAGAAGGAGGAGAGAGAAAGAAGGAGAAAAAAGAAAGAAGUUCCAACUUUGCCGCGCCGCCACCACUGCCGCUGAGGAGAGAUAGGAGAGCACCGGGAGGGCAAGGAAACAUGACUGAGCCCAGGCCCGACCCGAGCCUACUCCACUGUGGCUAGCGCUCUAAGAGAGCAGGCUGGGGCCCAGAGGAAGGCCACGUGACAGAGGAGACCAC